rnacentral:tRNA from 2 species
GGGACUGUAGCUCAGUUGGUAGAGCAAUGGACUGAAAAUCCAUGUGUCGCCGGUUCGAUUCCGGCCGGUCCCA